rnacentral:piRNA from 1 species
UGUUUAAGCGAGCCGUAGACUUUAUUAAA